GUCACAACAAAAUAUCUUAGUAUAUUAAAAGAUCAUAAGAACAUAAUUUAGGGGAAAAUUAAGAUAAGAACGAAAAUGAAACUACACCGUCCCAACUUAAAACAACCGCCAAUGCCGCCCUCUACUGGAGAAAAGCACAAAGACAGGCGAGCUGUGACAGCAGCUUCCGCUCAGUCGUGUAUUUAAUUUGAUAAAAGCAAACGGAUCAAUGCAUCGUCAGGACGUUUUUAGUCACUUUACUUUCACGCUGUACGAUGAUUUUUCAUGCCAUGAUUAUUGGCCGUAAUUACAUUAAUAUAUUCUAAUCAUAACAGGAAGGAAACGAUUCUGUUUCGCAGGUUUCAGCCACAUCAAACUGUGCAGGAAGCUGAGAGUGCGCGUGACGAGGCACCCCGGCGUCGGACGCAGUCAGUGCUGCGAGAUGCUGCUGCUGUGCUGGUCGCCUCUGCUGCUCUGCCUCUGCCUCCGCGCAGGUACUGUACAUCCAUGUGCUUCAGCUGGGGGGGGGCUGUAUGCGUCUGGGAGCGUCUUCAGCUCAGCGCUGACCCUCUGCACGUUUCGUCCCAGAGAACGUCGCCGUCAUCCGGGCACCGGGCGAGAACGUCACCCUGCGGUGCUCCCUGGACGGAUGCGCCCGCAGCGCCCACGGCUACGUCGGCAUGUACCUGUACAGGUACGCCGGCAGCCGGGAGGAGGUGCUGUACUACCACGGCGUGGACGGAGCGGACAAGGUCUCCGCGCGGGGCAGAUACACGCGCCGGGUCGAGAAGCAGGGAUCCCUGCGGAGCCACGGCAUCAGCAUCCGCGAGCUGACGGCGCGCGACUCCGGCGUCUACAGCUGCGUGUACAAGCAGACGCCGCAGGACGAGACCACGUGCAACGUGUACACGCUGGCAGUGAGCGACGCAGCUCCCUCUCCAGCGUCUCCCGAGCAUCCUCCCACGAACCCCCCCCACGGCGACACCCACGCGUGGCCGCCGCUGGCGCUGGUGACACCCGCCGCCGUCCUGCUCAGCGUGCUGCUGACCCUGCUCUUCGUCAAGGUCCUGGUCCCGUCGGUGAGUCCGGGGCCAGUAACGCGUGCGUUAUUUACGGUUGUCUGACUCCAGACCACCGACGUGCUGUACGAUUAGCAGGCCUGACGCGCUCGCCCACUGCUGAUGGCAUCUAAAAACCACCCGCUUGCUGAAGUGCCAGUGCUUCUGCUGGUUUUAAUUUCUAAGAAUGAGGUCCGACACAAUCACCCAAUCACAAUGUGUUUACUCGUCAUCUCCGUGACACAAAUGUCCUGCAGCAAAUAGCAAACUUUGAUUCCAACAUAUUUGUUUCUGCUCAGAAUAUUCUUUCCUGAUGACAGUUUUAUUAUAGUAUGUUUAGAGAUGUAGUAACUGUGUUUUCACAACCACCAGGUGAAACACUGGGCCAGCAGCAGCAGAAGGGCGAGAAGCGGCUCCUUGGACCCCAGCGAGUACGUGUAUGAGGUCAUGACUAAGAACGGCCUCCAGGCUGCGGCACCCAACCCGUACGACGCCGCUUAGCAAAAGUCCGCUUGUAUGAUAUGUUUUAAGGCGAAAUUCAAUCUAAAAUGCGUAAUAUAGAAAAUACAGGAGACCUCUUAAAGGAGCUGUGGAAUUGCAGACCUGCACAGUUCUGUUUGAAAAAGACAUGAAACGAUGGUUUUUGUGUGUCAGCAGGAAUCAUUGCACACAUGCACAUGGAAAAUGUAUGUAUGAAACAGAUGCAGUUUCCUUCAUCAGAUUGCAUUUUGUAAACUGAUAUCGCUGUAACCACAUGCCUGUUUGUGACGCGCGGUGGUUUUCUUUGGUUUUUAUUAGAAGCGACGUUGGUCGGUAAACGGCAGGAAGCGAAAUCUAAAGGAGAGUAAAUAACGCUUAAUAAGGUCAAAACAAAUAAUAUUUUGGGUUUCAUCGUGUUUGCUCUUGAGCCUUGUGUGUUUUGAAGGACAUAUUCACAGCUGACCAAAACUUCCUGGUCUUUGUUUCACACAGUCAAAACACCAGCAUCGGUGAAAUCUCUUAUCAUGUUUGUGUCGUCUCCUCAGUCCGUUGAACUGAUUGUCUGAACCACAGGCCUUUUACAACGCAGACAAGCCUGCAUCACAGGAAACACAGGCUGUGAACGCAGGCUUUACAGCAUCAACACAAAACACAGGAAACAUCAUCUUGGACUUGGAAUUUUGCUUUUAACAUCAUAAUAACCGCUCAUAAUAAAUGUAGUGGUAAAACGUGCUGUGCA
ensembl:lncRNA uncharacterized LOC114855951